UGAAGUCCUGGUCCUCAUAUGUGUGCAAAUGGUGAUCACUCUCCCAUGGCUUCCUUUCUUUGCUUCUGCAGUCUCUGGCUCACUCAUGUGGCCUAGAAUCUUAAGGAUACCAUUGUAUUAUAGCAGCUUAUUUCAGUGAACUGGCCACAUUUCAAGUUCUCAAUGGCCAUAUGACUCAGGCUACCAUAUUGGAGAGCACAGCUCUAGAUCUUUUUGAAACCAGUGCAGGGCAGGCCAGGAUCUUGAUAUUUGGCUGCUUUGUGAAGGCAAAGUGGGAACAGAGAGACUGCUGAGAGGUGACUGUGAUUGGGCAGAGAUUUGGACCAGGAGAGAGCAUGAGAGGAUGCUGGACCAUGCUGCCAUUCUGGGGGAAAGGUGGAGUGUGAAAUGAGCUGACAGAAGAGACCAACAUGGAGAGCCUCACCCCCACGGCCCACAGCAGACACAUCACAGAGUUACCAGGAAUUCCAGAAAGGAAGUCAAGUGAUGAAAGACUGAAGGAUGGGAACCCUGGGAGGACUGCUCCCUAAGGGAAGCUGGGUGGAAAGUUCUCACGGAGUCCAGCCCCGUUCCGCCUGCUCUGCCCUGGGGGUCUCCCAGCCCCUGUCCCUCCGCGAAUUGAGGAGCGGUCCUAAUUGCCAGUUGCCUUAAAGAGUUUGGGGAAACUGAAGACUGGGGUCCUUUAUAGGCAGGUUCUGGAUCAAGAGGGGUGGGGAGAGGCCCUGCAUUUGGAUUCCUGAAAUCCACAGAAAACCCUGCCCUUACACUACUUUAUUUUAAAGGUUUUGUUUUUUUUUAAAUUACAAAAGUAAAACAAGCGUGCUGUAAAAAUAGCAUAAACAUGUACAGUGCAUAGGCUGGGCUCGGUGGCUCAUGUCUGUAAUCUCAGCACUUUGGGAGGCCGAGGAAAGUGGAUCA
rnacentral:lncRNA from 10 species